rnacentral:rRNA from 1 species
GACGAACGCUGGCGGCGUGCCUAAUACAUGCAAGUUGAGCGCUGAAGGUUGGUACUUGUACCAUCUGGAUGAGCCGCGAACGGGUGAGUCACGCGUGGGGCCUCUGCCUUUGAGCGGGGGACAACAUUUGGAAACGAAUGCUAAUCCCGCAUAAAAACUUUAAACACAAGUUUUAAGUUUGAAAGAUGCAAUUGCAUCACUCACAGAUGAUCCCGCGUUGUAUUAGCUAGUUGGUGAGGUACAAGCUCACCAAGGCGAGGAUACAUAGCCGACCUGAGAGGGUGAUCGGCCACAUUGGGACGGAGACACGGCCCAAACGCCUACGGGAGGCAGCAGUAGGGAAUCGUCGGCAAGGGAUGAAAGUCUGACCGAGCAACGCGGCGUGAGUGAAGAAGGUUGUCGGAUCGUAAAACUCUGUUGGUAGAGAAGAACGUUGGUGAGAGUGGAAAGCUCAGCAAGUGACGGUAACUACCCAGAAAGGGACGGCUAACUACGUG